rnacentral:rRNA from 1 species
CCUUGUGUUUAUAGAAAAGAGGCAACACCCAGCCCCCAUUCCGAACCUGGCAGUUAAGCUCUUUUUCGUCAAUGAUACUGCAUCUUUCAGGUGUGGGAAAGUAGAACGAUGCAGGGA